UACGGGGGGGGCAAGCGUUGUUCGGAAUUACUGGGCGUAAAGGGCUCGUAGGCGGCCAACCAAGUCAGACGUGAAAUCCCUCGGCUUAACCGGGGAACUGCGUCUGAUACUGGAUGGCUUGAGUUCGGGAGAGGGAUGCGGAAUUCCAGGUGUAGCGGUGAAAUGCGUAGAUAUCUGGAGGAACACCGGUGGCGAAGGCGGCAUCCUGGACCGACACUGACACUGAGGAGCGAAAGCCAGGGGAGCAAACGGG
rnacentral:rRNA from 1 species